UCGUGGUCGAACAUUCAAAAUGUUAAUAAGGGAGGUAACUUUCUGCUGGCGACUUAGACACAGCCGGCAGGCCAGCGCCUCGGGUGGAUUGUAAAUACCGUCUCAGCAGUCGGCUAACAUCUGCGGCUAUUUACCGACGGAGCCGAUGGCCGAUUACAAUAGGUAUGCUGUGAGCACAAAUAUCAGCUAUCAGAUAGCUAAGUAAGAAUUACUUAUCGGUUGGAAAACUUCGAUUUGAAAUCGCUUUAUGAGGCAAACAAACGCUGUUCUUACCUGGAGAUGUUGCAAAGUUUGCCGCUUGUUACUAAGCAGGCCCUAAGUUGGUAAACGUGCGCUGGCACGUGUGCGGUUAAAUUUUCGGCUUGCUCAGCUAAGAGCACUGCACACAGGAUGGUUAUCAAACCAAGCUGCCUCUUAAAAGUAGGCACUCUCCAUCCACGAGCGAGACAACUUAAAAUCACAACAAAAUUGACGGUG